UACAGAGGGUGCGAGCGUUGUCCGGAAUUACUGGGCGUAAAGGGCGCGUAGGCGGCCUGAUAAGUAGGGGGUGAAAUUCCGUGGCUCAACCACGGAACUGCCUUCUAAACUGCCAGGCUUGAGCACGGUAGAGGCAGAUGGAAUUCCCGGUGUAGCGGUGGAAUGCGUAGAGAUCGGGAAGAACACCAGUGGCGAAGGCGGUCUGCUGGGCCGUUGCUGACGCUGAUGCGCGACAGCGUGGGGAGCGAUCCGG
rnacentral:rRNA from 1 species